UCUUGGUCAUUUAGAGGAAGUAAAAGUCGUAACAAGGUUUCCGUAGGUGAACCUGCGGAAGGUUCAUUAUCGAAUUAUAAGCAAAAGGUUGUUGCUGGCCUCCUCGGGGGCAUGUGCACGCCCGAGCUCUUAAUCCACUUACACCUGUGAACCCAAAAGUGGGGAUCGUCCCUAGGGGUGAUUCUCAUGUCUUUCAUAUACUCUUAUGCAUGUCUCGGAAUGUCUUUAUGUUGCCUAAACGCAAUUAUAAUACAACUUUCAACAACGGAUCUCUUGGCUCUCGCAUCGAUGAAGAACGCAGCGAAAUGCGAUAAGUAAUGUGAAUUGCAGAUUUUCAGUGAAUCAUCGAAUCUUUGAACGCACCUUGCGCUCCUUGGUAUUCCGAGGAGCAUGCCUGUUUGAGUGUCAUUAAAUUCUCAACUUCACCGAUUUUCUUCGAGUGAAGCUUGGACUUUGGAGCGUGCUGGCCCUCAAUUGGGUCGGCUCCUCUUUAAAUGCAGCAGCGGAGUCUUCUUUGACUUUUGCGGCGUCGGUGUGAUAAUCAUGUUGCGCCGUCGGCCCUGGGUCUCAGUCCGCUUACAAUGGUCUUCGGACAGCUAAUGAAACGCUUGACCUCAAAUCAGGUAGGACUACCCGCUGAACUUAAGCAUAUCAAUAAGCGGAGGA
rnacentral:rRNA from 1 species